UGUGCGCAUCAAGUGACACACGCAACUGAAAACAAUGACAGGCUCUUACUGCUGACUGUUUGUGGAGGAGCUGACUUGGCUGAAUCGUACACUAUCUGAGAUCUGGGAAGGAUAAACCAGCACACUAGGCAAUUGGAAUAUCCCUGCAGCUUUGAAGUGAUGGGUUGGCUUGAGGAACCAAAUUGGCAGAUUAAUAUUUCUUUGAUCAUGUUGCUGUCUCUACAAACCAAUGCAAACCUCUUGGAUAGCAUGCUGCUGAGGAGUUCAGGGAAGCUGAAUUUGGACAGCAAGAAGGAGGAUGGCGAGAGCAAUGUAGCUGUAUCACCUAAGCAGCUCCUGUUUUGUUCCUGCGAUCAUCACUGUCCUGAAGACUCAAAUAAUAACACAUGCACCUGAGUUUAUGAUCAGCUUUUUUAAUGGUUUAAAGUUCGAGUUCGGUUAAAACUGAUGAAUAAAAUAAAUUUAGAGUUUGUUCUGUUUAAAUCUAAAAAUAUGUUUGAUCACCCUGAUAGAAGUAGGUU